CGUUCCAAAUUACACUGUCUCUAGUGCCGUUUUUCCUCAACUUUUCUCGAACACAAAUCAAAUCUCUCUCUCUCUCCAUGGCGAUUUGUGGUUAGAAUCAAAGUUCUGUAUCCAUGGCGAGUCGUGGGAGAUUCAUAAGAAAAAAGAAAAACUACAUGGUCAAAACCGAUCUCUGCCCACAUUCCUUGGCGACUCCGGGCACUUUUGUCCAUCCUCUAACUCCAGCCACUACUUUUGAAAAUAAAAGUAAGGUGUUUGAUUCUAUACGAAUCAGAUCUAUAAGAUUUAUCAAGUAGACGGCGUUGACAAUAAGAUAGAUUCCAUGGAUCUAGAGCGUGAGAAAGGAUUUUUACAAGAUAUGGCCAACUCUGUUGGUGAAGAAACUAAGCGAGAAUGGAUUCAAAGAGUGAAAUCAGUGGGAGAUGUGCCAUGUCUUAAGCCAGAAAACUGCAAAAAUGGUUGGACUACGCCAUCUGCUGACUCGUUUAUGGGAUAUUAGCACAUACACCUACUUUAAACUAAAAUAUUUACCAUCAAACCCACUUGUUGCUAUGUGUAUACUUUUCCUUUAGGAAAAAAGACUCCACUCCUUCAAACUCUCUAAGUGCUACUCUUUCUCUCCUUA